CUGUGAGGGAGCAGCCACAGCUGGCGGGCCACUUCCUCGGGAAUGAAAUCCUUCAGCUGAAGGACGAGAGCAGAAGGAUCGGCAUGACCAGCAGCUAC
rnacentral:lncRNA from 1 species